rnacentral:rRNA from 1 species
UACGUAGGGUGCGAGCGUUGUCCGAAAUUAUUGGGCGUAAAGGGCUCGUAGGCGGUCUGUUGCGUCGGUAGUGAAAACUCAGGGCUUAACCCUGAGCCUGCUUCCGAUACGGGCAGACUAGAGGUAUGCAGGGGAGAACGGAAUUCCUGGUGUAGCGGUGAAAUGCGCAGAUAUCGGGAGGAACACCGGUGGCGAAGGCGGUUCUCUGGGACGGUACUGACGCUGAGACGCGAAAGCGUGGG